GGGUUCUCCCUAUAAAUAGGCAUCCCUUGUAGUUCUUUUCAUUCAUUGAAGUUAAUAAAAAAAUCUUGCUUUAUUUUUCUGCUCUCUUCGUGAGUUGUGGAAGAAUUCAAGAGUGGGUGCGAAGCCCUCCCUUUUCGAAGGGCUAACUACCGUGGUGCGAAGCCACAUCGAUCCCAAUUCACCCCCAUCUUCCAUCAUCUUUUUUUCCAUCUUCUCCCACCAUCCGUACUUCGAAUUUGUCCUUUUGUUGCAUCAGAUUUUUUCAUUACAGCAGGUUUUCAGAUUUCGGCUCGCAGGCGAGCUGAAACUUCGGCGGAGCACCACGCACAAACCGUACAUCGGAUCGAGCUGAGAUUUGGGAGUUUUGGAGUCCAUCCCUGGCCGACCAGGGCCAAGGUGACCUUUUUCUGAAUAGUGGGCCCCACACACGUGCGGCCGGGAUCACACGCACGUCCGUCUGGGCUAUUGUUGCUGUCCACACACGGGAUCAUCUUUUGGCUCAGGUUUUUAUCCUCUUUUAUCCUCUUAUAGCCAUUUUUCAUGAA